rnacentral:rRNA from 1 species
GGGUUGUAAACUUCUUUUGUAUAGGGAUAAACCUACCCUCGUGAGGGUAGCUGAAGGUACUAUACGAAUAANCACCGGCUAACUCCGUGCCAGCAGCCGCGGUAAUACGGAGGGUGCAAGCGUUAUCCGGAUUUAUUGGGUUUAAAGGGUCCGUAGGCUGAUGUGUAAGUCAGUGGUGAAAUCUCACAGCUUAACUGUGAAACUGCCAUUGAUACUGCAUGUCUUGAGUGUUGUUGAAGUAGCUGGAAUAAGUAGUGUAGCGGUGAAAUGCAUAGAUAUUACUUANAACACCCAUUGCGAAGGCAGGUUACUAAGCAACAACUGACGCUGAUGGACGAAAGCGUGGGGAGCGAACAGGAUUANAUACCCUGGUAGUCCACGCCGUAAACGAUGCUAACUCGUUUUUGGGUUUUCGGAUUCAGAGACUAAGCGAAAGUGAUAAGUUAGCCACCUGGGGAGUACGAAC